rnacentral:lncRNA from 1 species
UAUAUGGCCACCAGGAUUGCUUGUGUAGUCAUCCAAGCCAUGGCCACUAGAGUACUUUUAUAAACUCCAAACUGGCCUCUAUUUCAACAUUUGUCCCUGAAUUCAUUCUCCACAUUGAGCCAUAGUGAUCUUUUAAACAUAUAACUCAGAUCACGUCGUUGUUCUGCUUGAGACUCUUCAGUGGCUCCCUAUCAUCCUUAGGAUAACAUCUAAACUCUCUGCAUGGCCUGCAAGGUUCCUUGUCACCCAGCCCCUGCCUGCUCCUCUGACAUCACCUUCCUCAUGCUACCCUUCAGUUACUGACCGCUGUUUACAAUUCUUACCUCUUUAGUGUCUCUCCCCUCCCACUGCCCUGGAAGGUAAUCUCCAGGAGAAGAGGGAUCUUGUCUCUCUUUUUAUGGAUGUACCCCGAGUAGGGUACCAUGAGGAUCUGAUGCUUGCUUGGUAGGUGCUCAAACACUGUUUAUUGAAGGAAUGAAUACAAACAUUCCAGUAGACAGCCUCCAAGAUGACCCUCAAGGAUCCCUGGCUCCUAGUAUUCAUGCUGUGGUAUAGUCCCCUCCCACACUGAGUAGGGCCAAUUUGUAUAAUCAAUAGAAUCAAAUAUUGCAGAAGUGAUAGAGUGUGACUUCUGAGGCUAGGUCACGGAAGACAUUGCAAUCUUUGUCUUGUUUUCUGGGAUCACUGGCUCUACGGGAAGCCAGCUGCCAAGCCCCAAGAAUACUCACGUAGUUCUACCAAGAGGUCCAUGUGGUGAGAAACUGAGGCCUCCUGCCCGCAGCCAUGUGAGUGAGCCAUCUUGGAAGCAGCCCCUCCAGCCCAGGCAAGCUUCAGGAGACUGCAGCCACAGCUGACAUUUUAACGACGACCUCAGGACGGUCCAUGAGCCAGAAGCCACUUCUGAAUUCCUGACUCACAGAAACUAUAAGGAUCAUAACAUAGGUAAUGUUCAGAAACCAG